rnacentral:rRNA from 1 species
ACAAGGAUUCCCCUAGUAGCGGCGAGCGAAGCGGGAAGAGCUCAAAUUUAUAAUCUGGCACCUUCGGUGUCCGAGUUGUAAUCUCUAGAAAUGUUUUCCGCGUUGGACCGCACACAAGUCUGUUGGAAUACAGCGGCAUAGUGGUGAGACCCCCGUAUAUGGUGCGGACGCCCAGCGCUUUGUGAUACAUUUUCGAAGAGUCGAGUUGUUUGGGAAUGCAGCUCAAAUUGGGUGGUAAAUUCCAUCUAAAGCUAAAUAUUGGCGAGAGACCGAUAGCGAACAAGUACCGUGAGGGAAAGAUGAAAAGCACUUUGGAAAGAGAGUUAACAGUACGUGAAAUUGUUGGAAGGGAAACGCUUGAAGUCAGACUUGCUUGCCGAGCAAUCGGUUUGCAGGCCAGCAUCAGUUUUCCGGGAUGGAUAAUGGUAGAGAGAAGGUAGCAGUUUCGGCUGUGUUAUAGCUCUCUGCUGGAUACAUCUUGGGGGACUGAGGAACGCAGUGUGCCUUUUGGCGGGGGUUUCGACCUCUUCACACU